UACGGGGGGAGCAAGCGUUGUUCGGAUUUACUGGGCGUAAAGGGCGCGUAGGCGGCCAGCACAAGUCAGUUGUGAAAUCUCCGGGCUUAACUCGGAAAGGUCAACUGAUACUGUGCGGCUAGAGUUCGGUAGGGGAGACUGGAAUUCCUGGUGUAGCGGUGAAAUGCGCAGAUAUCAGGAGGAACACCGGUGGCGAAGGCGGGUCUCUGGGCAGUAACUGACGCUGAGGAGCGAAAGCGUGGGGAGCGAACAGG
rnacentral:rRNA from 1 species